rnacentral:rRNA from 1 species
UACGUAGGGUGCAAGCGUUGUCCGGAAUCAUUGGGCGUAAAGCGCGCGUAGGCGGCCCGAUAAGUCCGCUGUAAAAGUCAACGGCUCAACUGUUGAAAGCCGGUGGAUACUGUCGGGCUAGAGUACGGAAGAGGCAAGUGGAAUUCCUGGUGUAGCGGUGGAAUGCGCAGAUAUCAGGAGGAACACCUAUAGCGAAGGCAGCUUGCUGGGACGUUACUGACGCUAAGGCGCGAGAGCGUGGGGAGCGAACAGG